ensembl:piRNA 21ur-9573 ncRNA
UUGUUCCCGUCACCGUUUCCG